rnacentral:snRNA from 1 species
CAAAAGUGCUGGCUGCCAUCUGCAGGAGUAUUAGGUGUUACAUUUACUCAUGUUUUUGAGUGCGCCUAAAACUAGCGAAUGGUAAUCAAGACAUUUGCCCGGCUAAAUUUCUGUCACCCCACUUUGAAUCGGCCUCCAAAUUU